GACGAACGCUGGCGGCGUGCUUAACACAUGCAAGUCGAACGGAAAGGCCCUGCUUUUGUGGGGUGCUCGAGUGGCGAACGGGUGAGUAACACGUGAGUAACCUGCCCUUGACUUUGGGAUAACUUCAGGAAACUGGGGCUAAUACCGGAUAGGAGCUCCUGCUGCAUGGUGGGGGUUGGAAAGUUUCGGCGGUUGGGGAUGGACUCGCGGCUUAUCAGCUUGUUGGUGGGGUAGUGGCUUACCAAGGCUUUGACGGGUAGCCGGCCUGGGAGGGUGACCGGCCACAUUGGGACUGAGAUACGGCCCAGACUCCUACGGGAGGCAGCAGUGGGGAAGAUUGCACAAUGGGCGGAAGCCUGAUGCAGCAACGCCGCGUGCGGGAUGACGGCCUUCGGGUUGUAAACCGCUUUCGCCUGUGACGAAGCGUGAGUGACGGUAAUGGGUAAAGAAGCACCGGCUAACUACGUG
rnacentral:rRNA from 1 species